rnacentral:lncRNA from 1 species
GCAGGACGGUGGCCAUGGAAGUCGAAAUUCGCUAAGGAGUGUCAAACAACUCACCUGCCGAAUCAACUAGAAGAGAAAAAGAAGAAAAAACAAACAAACAGAACUAGCUAGUAUGUUCAUGAAACCUAUCUGUUUCAUUUAAGGCCAUUGACCAAGCUGUUUCUCCAUGAAAACCUUUCUCUUAGAACGACUCGUGUUCCAUUUGUGGAGUACCAGUCUGCCUUUGCCUUUCCACUUAUCAACUUCUGUAGAGGGUCUUUCUGAUGUUUCCCUUGUCAAUGUGUUUGUGGCUUCUCUGCCUCUUUCUUUAGCUUUGGGGAUGUCUUUAUCUGCCUCAUUUUUCUUUUUCCCCAUUUUCAUCUUUUGUUUCCUCUCUAAUCUCUGCUUCUCCUUCCUAGUUGUUAAAUUUAUUGAAUAUUAGGCGAUAUUUCCUAUUCUUAAUCUUC